CAGCGUUGGCCCUGCGGCCGUUCCCCCGGCUUGCCGCUGCCGUGCGUGCCGCGGCCGCCGGCAGUUCAAAUGAAAGACGGAGGUAGCUGUGGAGGGAAGACUUCUUAAAGGAGAAAAGGAUGUUGAAACACAAAGAUUAUGCUUUUGAAGGCGACCCUCAAUUUUGUUCUCCUGGCUUCUGAUUAGAACGUGUUUUUUCUAAACA